AACGAACGCUGGCGGCAUGCCUAACACAUGCAAGUCGAACGAGACCUUCGGGUCUAGUGGCGCACGGGUGCGUAACGCGUGGGAAUCUGCCCUUGGGUUCGGAAUAACAGUUAGAAAUGACUGCUAAUACCGGAUAAUGUCUUUGGACCAAAGAUUUAUCGCCCAGGGAUGAGCCCGCGUAGGAUUAGCUAGUUGGUGAGGUAAAGGCUCACCAAGGCGACGAUCCUUAGCUGGUCUGAGAGGAUGAUCAGCCACACUGGGACUGAGACACGGCCCAGACUCCUACGGGAGGCAGCAGUGGGGAAUAUUGGACAAUGGGCGAAAGCCUGAUCCAGCAAUGCCGCGUGAGUGAUGAAGGCCUUAGGGUUGUAAAGCUCUUUUACCCGGGAUGAUAAUGACAGUACCGGGAGAAUAAGCUCCGGCUAACUCCGUGCCAGCAGCCGCGGUAAU
rnacentral:rRNA from 1 species